GCCCUAUGGACUCAGUUCUGGU
rnacentral:miRNA from 8 species